GUAUGGACGGGAUAAGCGCUGAAAGCAUCUAAGUGCGAAGCCCCCCACAAGACUAGAUUUCCUUCAGUUUAACUGAUAAGACCCGUGGGAGACUACCACGUUGAUAGGUCGGAGGUGUAAGUGCAGCAAUGUACUUAGCUGACCGAUACUAAUAGGUCGAACGCUUGACCAAA
rnacentral:rRNA from 1 species